rnacentral:rRNA from 1 species
UACGAAGGGGGCUAGCGUUGUUCGGAAUUACUGGGCGUAAAGCGCGCGCAGGCGGUCUUCCAAGUCAGUGGUGAAAGCCCGGAGCUCAACUCCGGAACUGCCAUUGAAACUGUAAGACUUGAGGAUGAGAGAGGUGAGUGGAAUUCCCAGUGUAGAGGUGAAAUUCGUAGAUAUUGGGAAGAACACCGGUGGCGAAGGCGGCGCUCUGGACCGAGACUGACGCUGAGGCGCGAAGGCGUGGGGAGCAAACAGG